ensembl:snRNA U6 U6 spliceosomal RNA
GUGCUCGCUUUAUACACGUAUAUACGCUUAUAGCACGUAUACUAAGAUUGGCCCAAUACAGAGAAGAUUAGCAUGGCCUGUGCGCAAGGAUGAUGCCCAAAUCCAUGUUUUGUUCUCUGUGUGU